rnacentral:rRNA from 1 species
GACGAACGCUGGCGGCGUGCCUAAUACAUGCGAGUAGAACGCUGAAGGAGGAGCUUGCUUCUCUGGAUGAGUUGCGAACGGGUGAGUAACGCGUAGGUAACCUGCCUGGUAGCGGGGGAUAACUAUUGGAAACGAUAGCUAAUACCGCAUAAGAGUAGAUGUUGCAUGACAUUUACUUAAAAGGUGCAAUUGCAUCACUACCAGAUGGACCUGCGUUGUAUUAGCUAGUUGGUGAGGUAACGGCUCACCAAGGCAACGAUACAUAGCCGACCUGAGAGGGUGAUCGGCCACACUGGGACUGAGAGACGGCCCAGACACCUACGGGAGGCAGCAGUAGGGAAUCUUCGGCAAUGGACGGAAGUCUGACCGAGCAACGCCGCGUGAGGGAAGAAGGUUUUCGGAUCGUAAAGCUCUGUUGUAAGAGAAGAACGAGGGUGAGAGUGGAAAGUUCACACUGUGACGGUAUCUUACCAGAAAGGGACGGCUAACUACGUG